CCUACGGGAGGCAGCAGUGGGGAAUUUUGGACAAUGGGGGCAACCCUGAUCCAGCAAUGCCGCGUGAGUGAAGAAGGCCUUCGGGUUGUAAAGCUCUUUUGUCAGGGAAGAAACGGUUCGAUCUAAUACAUUGGGCUAAUGACGGUACCUGAAGAAUAAGCACCGGCUAACUACGUGCCAGCAGCCGCGGUAAU
rnacentral:rRNA from 1 species